GAAACUCUAUCAAAACUAGCUAA
rnacentral:snRNA from 1 species